rnacentral:lncRNA from 1 species
CCACCCAGGCGCCCCAAGGCUCUGAUUUCUAAACAUAUGUUCUAUACACAGCAUUUAAAGUCAUCAUCUUGACAAUGACCCUGUGGCCGAGGUGUAUGAGCAGCUGAGCUCAAACUGUGCCGGAUCCCACCUAUGGCUCUUUAUGAGAUUCAACACUUUCUGUGACUAUCAGGAAUCCUCUCUCUGGAACAAGGGAGAAAUUUUGCCUUGAGAUGUAGACAUGCAUGAAGAAGGACCUGGACGUCUGGAUUUCAUUUGGUUUGAUUGUUGCCAUUGACAAGCCACCA